GUCCACGCCGUAAACGGUGCGCACUAGGUGUCGGGGGUAUUCACCCCUCCGGUGCCGCAGCUAACGUAUUAAGUGCGCCGCCUGGGAAGUACGGCCGCAAGGCUAAAACUCAAAGGAAUUGACGGGGGCCCGCACAAGCGGUGGAGCAUGUGGUUCAAUUCGAUGCAACGCGAAGAACCUUACCUGGUCUUGACAUCCCGGGAAUCUCCCUGAAAGGGGAGAGUGCCUUCGGGAACCCGGUGACAGGUGCUGCAUGGCUGUCGU
rnacentral:rRNA from 1 species